UCGACGAUGAAGCCCUUCGGGGUGGAUUAGUGGCGAACGGGUGAGUAACACGUGGGCAAUCUGCCCUUCACUCUGGGACAAGCCCUGGAAACGGGGUCUAAUACCGGAUAAUACUCGUCUCCUCCUGGGGGCGGGUUGAAAGCUCCGGCGGUGAAGGAUGAGCCCGCGGCCUAUCAGCUUGUUGGUGGGGUAAUGGCCUACCAAGGCGACGACGGGUAGCCGGCCUGAGAGGGCGACCGGCCACACUGGGACUGAGACACGGCCCAGACUCCUACGGGAGGCAGCAGUGGGGAAUAUUGCACAAUGGGCGAAAGCCUGAUGCAGCGACGCCGCGUGAGGGAUGACGGCCUUCGGGUUGUAAACCUCUUUCAGCAGGGAAGAAGCGAGAGUGACGGUACCUGCAGAAGAAGCGCCGGCUAACUACGUGCCAGCAGCCGCGGUAAUACGUAGGGCGCAAGCGUUGUCCGGAAUUAUUGGGCGUAAAGAGCUCGUAGGCGGCUUGUCACGUCGGGUGUGAAAGACCGGGGCUCAACUCCGGUUCUGCAUUCGAUACGGGCUAGCUAGAGUGUG
rnacentral:rRNA from 1 species